AUGGAAGCAUCCUUCGAGAACUUAGAUAUGCAACUUGGUCAAAUAUCUAACCAAUUAGAAUUAAAAUUGAGCUCUAGUGGGGAGUUUGAUGGGAAAAUUUUACAUAGUCAUAGAUAUAAGGAAAUUGAAGAGAAUCCAAACAAGACUGCCAGGAAAUGGGUCCAAAGUGAAGCCACUCCUCUCGAGCAUCAUCAUCAAUCACAUGAGGGCAGAGUGGACCAAACAGAACCAAGGCUUCAACAAUACCAUGCAAGACGUGUAAUAAUUUUUCCACUCCAAUGA